AUUUGGUUGUCAUAAAUGUAUUGAUUUCUUUUGGUGAUACUCUUUUUUAUGCAUUCCGGAACAUGAUUUACCAGUACAAAACUUAAUAUUGAAAGUGCUAAUGUUUAUAAGUAAUUUACCUGAACAUUGUUACUUUAGUUAAUUAUGAAGAAAAUAUCCAACCAUAUAUUGGUUCUUUGUUAUAUUGGAGCUUUGUCCUAUGAUAUUUAUAUAGGACAUUGAAGCAUUUGGAGCAGGUUAAGGACUUCACUCCAUGUGAGAGCAGCAUCUACGCGUUGAUAGGGAAGAUUCACAAGAGGCUUAAUAUGCAUGCUAAGGACAUGUUCUACUUUGGUAUUGCAUUGGACCUGAAGCCUCCAGCAGCUGAUGUUGCUGCUAUCAAGUCUGCGAUGGAGAAAUUGCAUCUCCCAGAUGAAUUGGAGGACAACUUAUAGAUUCAUUUCCUCAAAACUCAGAAGGUGCAGCAAGGGCUCAAUUGGCUUGGCCGCAUGCUUGGGCUUUCGGACUAUCUUCUGGAAAGCAGACUUUCGAGAUACUAUUGAAGACAGCCCAUUCUUGAAGAAAGCGGCGGCUAACCUCUAACAUUGUAUUACUCGUCUCAAAUGUAACAUUAAUCAUUCAGUUUAGUAGCUUUAGUGAGUCAUCGAGUGAAACAUUUGUACUGAGAGCAUGACUGAUAAUGCAUGUAUAAUGUUUGGACGCUUACAUCACAGUGAAAGGAACUGCAUAAAUACAGAGGAAAACAGUGCAUUGUUGGUAGA